rnacentral:lncRNA from 1 species
CGGUGCUGUAUUCUGCCGCCCAUUUUACCCGCGGGGAAGCUGAGGCCCAGUGCUGUUUAAUAUCUUACUCAUGUUCACUUGAUGAGAAAGUGACAGAUCUGAGACAAACCCAGAUCGACAGAAAAGAAAUGAGUCAACGAUGGUGCAGGUGAUCUGUGCAGUGCUGUGCAGGGGAUGGGUCAAAGCUGUGAUGCUGGCAUGCAACUAACUCACCAUUAAAGGGACCAGCUUGACGAAGCUUCUGCUUUUGUGACUGUCUCCUAAUGGGAGAAGUGAAAUUCUACCUCACUUUUUUAAAAGAAGAGCCUGGAAUUGGCCUAUCCGUCUUUUUCCCCGUUGGAUCACAGAGCAGAAAGGAAGCUAAGACCUCUAGUACAGUGUUCAAUGGAACUGGUGAGAAAAGACGUCCUUGCUGUGUUCCUGAUAUGAAGAGGAAAGCAGUCCUUCUCCAUUAAAUGCUGACAACAUGAGCCUCCCGUGGUCGGAACGGGCUUGUGAAGGCGGUGCUGGGGUGCACCAGGGCAGCAGCUACAG